ACUAUGUUUCUGUUGAAUGAAAAGUUUGUUACUACAAGGUAGAAUUUUAGUCAAAAUUAUAAUUAUGUAAACAAAAACAAAUCUAUGAUAGAAAGAUUUCUGGGUGGAGAAUUUCUAGAACAAUAAGUAUUGUCAACACCAUGAACAUUAUUUGAAGAAUUAUAAAACUUCAUGGUUGAUAACAACACAACCUUUGAAGGUUUGCAAACUAUUAUGAGUCUUAUAAGUAGUGUUGAUAUAGUUCAGUUAGUGAGAGCCUACUGAAUAUACAAAUUAAAUACUAUGAUUGUAAAGUACUGAUACAAUUAUCACUAGGUGGUAUUAAUGGUAUAGGAAUGUAAUUCAUGAAUACAAAUGACCUAAAGAUUUUAAGGUUGCUAGAAACCACAUGAUUCAUGGAAAUAUAAUUGGACAGGAUAUUAUAGUAAUACAUGUAUUAGUACUUAAGUAAUAUCAGGUAUUGAGAAUGAAAAUACUAUGCUAUAUUUAUCUGUAGGAGUAUGAUAGUGAUACACAGUUAUUAUUUAGAAAGUUAUGAUCUUGAUUUUGUUGUCUACGAAGACAUGACUGUACCUGAGCAGGUUGGUCUUUCUCAUUGCUUUACAUUGUUUAUUGGAUCAACAUUUGUAAAUAUUUUUUUAUUCAAUUAUUAUUGUUAUUUAUAUAUAUGUACAUAUUAUGUUCAAGUAGUUAUGAUGUAACAUGGACAUGGAUAUCAAUACAUAGCUGAAACAGAGGGAGUUUGAAGUAAAGUAAGCAGUAUGAGGGAUAGAAACUUGACCUUCCAAGAAUUCUCAUAUAAUAGAAAGUUGUGACUACAUCUUGUUCUAUGUUCAAUGACUGUGAUACGAGUGAUGUAUGAAUGGACAGGUUAGUGACAUUGUGUUAUAGUUUUAAGACAAACCAUAAAUAGAGGGAAUGUAGAAUAUUGCAUAUUCUAUGUUUCUAUUGAUUAUAUAUGGAUGUGUGAAUUGACAUAAGUAACAGAUGGUAUAAGUCACAAGGCUUUCUUUGUCCAAGAGCUCUGGAAUGUGGAUUUGGGGUUUUUGUCCUUAUAUGGUUAGAGUUAUAGUCUGACGUCAGUAUGGGCACUUCUAUAUAGUAACUGAAAAAAGAGACAUGAGGUCUCUUGGCUCUUGGCUCUCUCUUGGUUCUCUUUCCUGUACAAGAUGUAACUGUCCCAUCAGAAGUCCAGCAAUUACCAUCUGCUGUUGAAUGUCCAUUAUCAUGUAACAUUCUUUGUUGUUUUAUUAUGUAUCAGUAACUCAGA